UCAUAGGAAGGAACGUUCCGCAAGACGCGCCCCGGCCUGAGAGAACAUGUCGAUUAUCUGAGGCGCAAGACUGCAGCGCGCCCGGGGAUUGGAGGAUGGAGUCUGGCUUGCUCAGCUGAGGGCGGGGCGAAGUAAAGCCUGGGUCUCCAGGGGUUCGUGCGUGGCCGGAUGCGGAAGACGUGCAGGGGAAGAUGUCCGGCUGCCGUGACGUGUCUGCGUUGGUUCUAGCAGCUGGCUCGCUCGGGGCUGUGGUGUUUGUCUCCCAUUAUAUCUCCUGAAGGUGCGGUGGUGACACUUGUCUUGCCCAAAGUGACAUUAAUAAAAUCUUUUUAGUGAAUUCUUUAAAAA